rnacentral:rRNA from 1 species
UACGAAGGGGGCUAGCGUUGUUCGGAAUUACUGGGCGUAAAGCGCACGUAGGCGGAUACUUAAGUCAGGGGUGAAAUCCCGGGGCUCAACCCCGGAACUGCCUUUGAUACUGGGUAUCUCGAGUCCGGAAGAGGUGAGUGGAAUUCCGAGUGUAGAGGUGAAAUUCGUAGAUAUUCGGAGGAACACCAGUGGCGAAGGCGGCUCACUGGUCCGGUACUGACGCUGAGGUGCGAAAGCGUGGGAGCAACAGG